rnacentral:rRNA from 1 species
UUAAGCGACUAAGCGUACACGGUGGAUGCCCUGGCAGUCAGAGGCGAUGAAGGACGUGCUAAUCUGCGAUAAGCGUCGGUAAGGUGAUAUGAACCGUUAUAACCGGCGAUUUCCGAAUGGGGAAACCCAGUGUGAUUCGUCACACUAUCAUUAACUGAAUCCAUAGGUUAAUGAGGCGAACCGGGGGAACUGAAACAUCUAAGUACCCCGAGGAAAAGAAAUCAACCGAGAUUCCCCCAGUAGCGGCGAGCGAACGGGGAGCAGCCCAGAGCCUGAAUCAGUGUGUGUGUUAGUGGAAGCGUCUGGAAAGGCGCGCGAUACAGGGUGACAGCCCCGUACACAAAAAUGCACAUGCUGUGAGCUCGAUGAGUAGGGCGGGACACGUGGUAUCCUGUCUGAAUAUGGGGGGACCAUCCUCCAAGGCUAAAUACUCCUGACUGACCGAUAGUGAACCAGUACCGUGAGGGAAAGGCGAAAAGAACCCCGGCGAGGGGAGUGAAAAAGAACCUGAAACCGUGUACGUACAAGCAGUGGGAGCACGCUUAGGCGUGUGACUGCGUACCUUUGUAUAAUGGGUCAGCGACUUAUAUUCUGUAGCAAGGUUAACCGAAUAGGGGAGCCGAAGGGAACCGAGUCUUAACUGGGCGUUAAGUUGCAGGGUAUAGACCCGAAACCCGGUGAUCUAGCCAUGGGCAGGUUGAAGGUUGGGUAACACUAACUGGAGGACCGAACCGACUAAUGUUGAAAAAUUAGCGGAUGACUUGUGGCUGGGGGUGAAAGGCCAAUCAAACCGGGAGAUAGCUGGUUCUCCCCGAAAGCUAUUUAGGUAGCGCCUCGUGAAUUCAUCUCCGGGGGUAGAGCACUGUUUCGGCAAGGGGGUCAUCCCGACUUACCAACCCGAUGCAAACUGCGAAUACCGGAGAAUGUUAUCACGGGAGACACACGGCGGGUGCUAACGUCCGUCGUGAAGAGGGAAACAACCCAGACCGCCAGCUAAGGUCCCAAAGUCAUGGUUAAGUGGGAAACGAUGUGGGAAGGCCCAGACAGCCAGGAUGUUGGCUUAGAAGCAGCCAUCAUUUAAAGAAAGCGUAAUAGCUCACUGGUCGAGUCGGCCUGCGCGGAAGAUGUAACGGGGCUAAACCAUGCACCGAAGCUGCGGCAGCGACGCUGAUGCGUUGUUGGGUAGGGGAGCGUUCUGUAAGCCUGCGAAGGUGUGCUGUGAGGCAUGCUGGAGGUAUCAGAAGUGCGAAUGCUGACAUAAGUAACGAUAAAGCGGGUGAAAAGCCCGCUCGCCGGAAGACCAAGGGUUCCUGUCCAACGUUAAUCGGGGCAGGGUGAGUCGACCCCUAAGGCGAGGCCGAAAGGCGUAGUCGAUGGGAAACAGGUUAAUAUUCCUGUACUUGGUGUUACUGCGAAGGGGGGACGGAGAAGGCUAUGUUGGCCGGGCGACGGUUGUCCCGGUUUAAGCGUGUAGGCUGGUUUUCCAGGCAAAUCCGGAAAAUCAAGGCUGAGGCGUGAUGACGAGGCACUACGGUGCUGAAGCAACAAAUGCCCUGCUUCCAGGAAAAGCCUCUAAGCAUCAGGUAACAUCAAAUCGUACCCCAAACCGACACAGGUGGUCAGGUAGAGAAUACCAAGGCGCUUGAGAGAACUCGGGUGAAGGAACUAGGCAAAAUGGUGCCGUAACUUCGGGAGAAGGCACGCUGAUAUGUAGGUGAAGUCCCUCGCGGAUGGAGCUGAAAUCAGUCGAAGAUACCAGCUGGCUGCAACUGUUUAUUAAAAACACAGCACUGUGCAAACACGAAAGUGGACGUAUACGGUGUGACGCCUGCCCGGUGCCGGAAGGUUAAUUGAUGGGGUUAGCGCAAGCGAAGCUCUUGAUCGAAGCCCCGGUAAACGGCGGCCGUAACUAUAACGGUCCUAAGGUAGCGAAAUUCCUUGUCGGGUAAGUUCCGACCUGCACGAAUGGCGUAAUGAUGGCCAGGCUGUCUCCACCCGAGACUCAGUGAAAUUGAACUCGCUGUGAAGAUGCAGUGUACCCGCGGCAAGACGGAAAGACCCCGUGAACCUUUACUAUAGCUUGACACUGAACAUUGAGCCUUGAUGUGUAGGAUAGGUGGGAGGCUUUGAAGUGUGGACGCCAGUCUGCAUGGAGCCGACCUUGAAAUACCACCCUUUAAUGUUUGAUGUUCUAACGUGGACCCGUAAUCCGGGUUGCGGACAGUGUCUGGUGGGUAGUUUGACUGGGGCGGUCUCCUCCUAAAGAGUAACGGAGGAGCACGAAGGUUGGCUAAUCCUGGUCGGACAUCAGGAGGUUAGUGCAAUGGCAUAAGCCAGCUUGACUGCGAGCGUGACGGCGCGAGCAGGUGCGAAAGCAGGUCAUAGUGAUCCGGUGGUUCUGAAUGGAAGGGCCAUCGCUCAACGGAUAAAAGGUACUCCGGGGAUAACAGGCUGAUACCGCCCAAGAGUUCAUAUCGACGGCGGUGUUUGGCACCUCGAUGUCGGCUCAUCACAUCCUGGGGCUGAAGUAGGUCCCAAGGGUAUGGCUGUUCGCCAUUUAAAGUGGUACGCGAGCUGGGUUUAGAACGUCGUGAGACAGUUCGGUCCCUAUCUGCCGUGGGCGCUGGAGAAUUGAGGGGGGCUGCUCCUAGUACGAGAGGACCGGAGUGGACGCAUCACUGGUGUUCGGGUUGUCAUGCCAAUGGCACUGCCCGGUAGCUAAAUGCGGAAGAGAUAAGUGCUGAAAGCAUCUAAGCACGAAACUUGCCCCGAGAUGAGUUCUCCCUGACUCCUUGAGAGUCCUGAAGGAACGUUGAAGACGACGACGUUGAUAGGCCGGGUGUGUAAGCGCAGCGAUGCGUUGAGCUAACCGGUACUAAUGAACCGUGAGGCUUAACCUU